GGGGGGAGCAAGCGUUGUUCGGAUUUACUGGGCGUAAAGGGUGCGUAGGCGGCCUCCGCAAGUCAGUUGUGAAAUCUCCGAGCUUAACUCGGAAAGGUCAAUUGAUACUGCGGGGCUAGAGUGCGGAAGGGGCAACUGGAAUUCUUGGUGUAGCGGUGAAAUGCGUAGAUAUCAAGAGGAACACCUGCGGCGAAGGCGGGUUGCUGGGCCGACACUGACGCUGAGGCGCGAAAGCUAGGGGAGCGAACGGGAUUAGAUACCCCGGUAGUCCUAGCCUUAAACGAUGAAUGCUUGGUGUCUGGGGUUAUAUAGUCCCCGGGUGCCGUCGCUAACGCUUUAAGCAUUCCGCCUGGGGGGUACGGUCGCAAGACUG
rnacentral:rRNA from 1 species